CCUACGGGUGGCAGCAGUGGGGAAUAUUGCACAAUGGGGGGAACCCUGAUGCAGCGACGCCGCGUGAAGGAAGAAGUAUUUCGGUCUGUAAACUUCUAUCAGCAGGGAAGAAAAUGACGGUACCUGACUAAGAAGCCCCGCCUAACUACGUGCCAGCAGCCGCGGUAAUACGUAGGGGGCAAGCGUUAUCCGGAUUUACUGGGUGUAAGGGGAGCGUAGGCGGUUCAGCAAGUCAGAGGUGAAAGCCCGGGGCUCAACUCCGGGACUGCUUUUGAAACUGUUGAACUGGAAUGCAGGAGAGGUAAGUGGAAUUCCUAGUGUAGCGGUGAAAUGCGUAGAUAUUAGGAGGAACACCAGUGGCGAAGGCGUCUUACUGGACUGUAAAUGACGCUGAGGCUCGAAAGCGUGGGGAGCAAACAGGAUUAGAUACCCGUGUAGUC
rnacentral:rRNA from 1 species